GAUGAACGCUGGCGGCGUGCUUAACACAUGCAAGUCGAACGAGAAAUGUAGACGGACACCUUCGGGCGGAAGCCUUCAUUUCGAGUGGCGGACGGGUGAGUAACGCGUGGGUAACCUGCCUCAUACAGGGGGAUAACAGUUGGAAACGACUGUUAAUACCGCAUAAGACCACAGCAUCGCAUGAUGCGGGGGUAAAAACUCCGGUGGGAUGAGAUGGACCCGCGUUCGAUUAGCCAGUUGGCGGGGUAACGGCCCACCAAAGCGACGAUCGAUAGCCGAUCUGAGAGGAUGACCGGCCACAUUGGGACUGAGACACGGCCCAAACUCCUACGGGAGGCAGCAGUGGGGAAUAUUGCACAAUGGGGGAAACCCUGAUGCAGCGACGCCGCGUGAGUGAAGAAGUACUUCGGUAUGUAAAGCUCUAUCAGCAGGGAAGAAAAUGACGGUACCUGAGGAAGAAGCCCCGGCUAACUACGUG
rnacentral:rRNA from 1 species